UCCGGUUUGUCACCGGCAGUCCCAUUAGAGUGCCCAACUGAAUGUGGCAACUAAUGGCAAGGGUUGCGCUCGUUGCGGGACUUAACCCAACAUCUCACGACACGAGCUGACGACAGCCAUGCAGCACCUGUGUAAUGGUUCUCUUUCGAGCACCCUCAGAUCUCUCCAAGGUUCCAUCCAUGUCAAGGGUAGGUAAGGUUUUUCGCGUUGCAUCGAAUUAAUCCACAUCAUCCACCGCUUGUGCGGGUCCCCGUCAAUUCCUUUGAGUUUUAACCUUGCGGCCGUAGUCCCCAGGCGGAGCACUUAAUGCGUUAGCUACGGCACCGCGGGGGUCAAUACCCACGACACCUAGUGCUCAUCGUUUACAGCGUGGACUAC
rnacentral:misc_RNA from 1 species